ACUUACAAGUUACAAGCAUUGAUCCCCUUUUGUGGGGAGUCCCCAAAACGAAAGAAGAUUAAACACAAUAUCCGACAGCAAUAGGGAGGCCAGCAGCCUGACAACAUAAAACCCUUCAACACUGACAUACAAUUGGGAGGCCAGCAGCCUGACAAUGUGCUAGCACAGGAACUUGACAACAAUCACAGAGAUGUCGUCCUUGCUCUUCCGGUUCACGGCCAGCUCCGUCAGGUGCUUCGCGGCUGCCUGCGCGUCCUUGAAGUCCUUGAUCUCAUCCACCGCCUCCUGGUUUGACAUCACCUGCACAUGUGCCAGUCUCGCAUUUCGAUCAUCACUGGAAAUGGUAAACACAAACUCGAGAGAUUUUGCAACUCAUACACGGGGGCAACAAAGUAUUACUACACGAUCGGCCAGUUUGGGUCGAAAAAAUAGCAAUUAGCUCACGUCCAUAAUGCAAAUGCUAUUGAAGAAUUAGAAGAAUCAUUGUCCGCAUGAUUAAUAAAUUUCAUGGCUUAUUUUAAAGACAGGUGUUGCUGAUAUAAAGGCCCUGUUAAGUUGCAUCCAGGAUCAAAUUAUAUCCCUCAUGCACAUACAUUAUUACACGGAGAAUUAGCUUAGGUAUGCAAUACACCAUGCUGCGAAUCAGGUAAUCACAUAAAUCCUUCAGGUAAGAUUUAUACGAGAUCCAUAUCCAUUACCUUCCAUAAACCAUCGCUUGCUAGAAUUAGAAAAUCGGAAUUUUCAUUGAUAGUUUCCUCAAUUACAUAUGGAUCAGAGCUGAGGUGCUUCUUCAAGCUCCGGUCUCCGAAUGCCCUCGCAACUGCCAGCUGCCCAUCAACACGUGGU
rnacentral:lncRNA from 1 species